AUCUCCUAGAAAUAGGGGAGUGCCGUAAGGAACCGGAUGACAGGUGCUGCAUGGUCGUCGUCAGCUCGUGCCUUGAGGUGUUCGGUUAAGUCCGUAAACAAGCGCAACCCAUGUCCUAUGUUAAAUUUUCAUAGGAGACUGCCGACUUUACGUCGGAGGAAGGCGUGGAUGACGUCAGAUCAGCAUGGCCCUUAUGUCUGGGGCCACACACAUGUUACAAUGGCGGAUACAAUGAGCUGCUAACCCGUAAGGGGGAGCCAAUCUCACCAAAAUCCGUCUCAGUUCGAAUAGAGGGCUGCAACUCGACCUCUUGAAGCCGGAAUCGCUAGUAACCGCGUAUCAGCCAUGGCGCGGUGAAUAUGUUCCUGGGUCUUGUACUCACCGCCCGUCAAUUCAUGAAAGAUAGGGGUGCCCGAAGUCACUUCAGCUCUACGGAGCCAGUGCCUAAGGUAACACUAUUGAUUGGGAAUAAGUCGUAACAAGGUAUCCGUACGAGAACG
rnacentral:rRNA from 1 species